GCCAUGCCGCGUGCAGGAUGACGGUCCUAUGGAUUGUAAACUGCUUUUGUACAGGAAGAAACACUGGUUCGUGAACCAUCUUGACCGUACUGUUACAAUAAGGAUCGGCUAACUCCGUGCCAGCAGCCGCGGUAAUACGGAAGAUCCGAGCGUUAUCCGGAAUCAUUGGGUUUAAAGGGUCCGAAGGCGGUUUAAUAAGUCAGUGGUGAAAGCCCAUCUCUCAACGGUGGAACGGCCAUUGAUACUGUUAAACUUGAAUUAUUAGGAAGUAACUAGAAUAUGUAGUGUAUCGGUGAAAUGCUUAUAGAUUACAUGGAAUACCAAUUGCGAAUGCAGGUUACUACUAAUUGAUUGACGCUGAUGGACGAAAGCGUGGGUAGGGAACACGAUUACAUACCCUGGUAGUCCACGCCGUACACGAUGGAUACUACCUGUUGGACCCACUUUCACUGGCUAAUCGAAAGUGAUAAAUAUCCCACCUGGGGAGUACAUUCGCAAGAAUGAAACUCAAAGGAAUUGACCGGGGCCCGCACAAGCUGUGGAGCAUGUGGUUUAAUUCAAUGAUACGCGAGGAACCUUACCAAGGCUUAUAUGUAGAUUGACCGGUUUGGAAACAGAUCU
rnacentral:rRNA from 1 species